UACGUAGGGGGCGAGCGUUGUCCGGAUUUAUUGGGCGUAAAGAGCUCGUAGGCGGCUUAGCAAGUCGGGUGUGAAAACUCCAGGCUCAACCUGGAGACGCCACUCGAGACUGCUAUGGCUAGAGUCCGGUAGGGGACCACGGAAUUCCUGGUGUAGCGGUGAAAUGCGUAGAUAUCGAGAGGAACACCUGCGGCGAAGGCGGUCUGCUGGGCCGUUGCUGACGCUGAGGCGCGACAGCGUGGGGAGCAAACAGG
rnacentral:rRNA from 1 species